CGGCACUCCAGAUGUUUUGGACUACACCUCCCAUGAUGCUUUGCCAGCAUUAUGGGGGAUGUAGUCCACAACAUCUGGAGUGCCG